rnacentral:lncRNA from 1 species
UGGGUACAUUUAUUUUUAUAACUAUCCAAGGGAAGGGCUGGCAAAAAAAUUGAAAUGAGGGAGAAAAAGAAAAGAAAUUUCAAGACUGAUGUACAACAAAUUCAGAUUCUUUUUUUAAUAUUUGUGUGGCCCUUAAAAGGACCUUUUAUGAUUCUGUUUGCUGUUGGUCUUUAGGUGGAUCAGCUGGUAUCUCAGUCAGCAGCAGGUCUUGGAUUGAGCUUCGGUUUACAGUAGCUGUCAUGGUCCUGGAAAUGUAAGGCAGGUUGUGGAUCUAAUUGGUCUUUGCAGUAAUAAUCGUGCUUUUUAUUCAUUUCCCUCCAUGUUUUGUGCUCGGCUAACUUUUCUGCACUCUGCUGUAAUCUCCUUUCUUGAACUGCUGGUCUCAGUUCAUAAUCCUGACUGUAUUUGAAGUUGGUGUCCAUUUUCUUCAGGUAAAGUUGACUUCUAGUUGAAAGGUCUACUCCUAAAUUCUUACAUUUCAGUUGGGUUGAAGUUCCUGGCAUAUUGUUAUUUCGAUGCACUCCUGAGGCAAGUCGUCCUUCCAUAUUUUUGGAGUAAAUUACAUUUUUUGGCAAAUUUACACUCAUUGCUCUGUGAACUCCUUCAUUUUUAUUUGUAUUAUCAUACAGUUUCAUACUUUCAACAGCUGCUUUUGUUAGUUUCAUUUUCAGGAUUUCUUGUAGUAAAAAUUUGUCUGUUUUAUCCAUUUGCAGGGCAGUGAUUUGGUAUGUGGACAAGUAAUGGGAACGACUCCACCAGUUAAGUGCAGCAUCACCUUUGCAGACAAUGGAAUGUUCCUGACACAGGGUGCAGUCACCAUCAUAGCAGCGAAGAGUUGCAUCUAGAACUUUUGGUAAGUCUUUACUCAUAUCGUGAAUGUUUUUGUCGUACUUUUCCAUCAGUUUAUUAAUUAUCAUGGAGCAUCUGCACUUAAUAUCUUUGCUAAACACUGUCUUUAGUUGUCUAUUUUCUUCUUUUGUUUUACCAUGGAACAUUCCCGCACUGUAUUGAGCACGACUAGAGGCCCUGAAUUGAGACUGCCCCAAAUGUACUGGAUCUGCUAGUCUUUCUACCUCCCACAUUGGUUCCAGAGCUUUAAUAGCAUCUUCAAUACCUCUAGCUGAACGUCCAUCUCCAUCUGUGGUCACAUACCGUACAAGAAAUUUCUGUAGUCCUAGCUGGUUCCCCAUCUCUUUUCCCAGCUCAUACUCUGACAGGGCAGCAGCUCUGUAUAAAUUUGAAGUACAUUCUUCAUGACCAGGACAUUCUAUUGGAAAGCCUUUCCCUCUAAGCCAAGCCCCUCUCCAGCACAUCUUGUUCUGCACAACUGCAGCUACAAUAAACUUUCUGUCUGUCAUUGUUUCAAUACCAAGUGCGAAUGCUUGAGUGGCAUUCUGACCCGGCUUCUUUUUACUAACAAUUGUAUUGCUGUUGUAGCAUCUAGCAUCCACAGUUAUGUUGAUUUCAUUUUCUGGUACACCUCUCUUUCUGUUCUCUUCUUUUACUAGUUCAAGUUUCUGUGCCAUGUCUGUUUUGUUGAGAUUGACCAUUUCAGCUGCUACUCUGUUAGAUGUGCGUUGCAUACUGCUUCGGCAUGGUGGUGGUGUGUCAACUCCUGCAAGUAGUUGCUGCACCGUGGUAUUACCAAUUGGGCAAUCCUGCAAAGCAGAUGCAAGGGCUACAUUUGGUUGUCCUGGGUUGGGUCCUGGUUUGCCAUUAGCUAUUUCUUUAUACAUCUUCAUUCUGUCUCCAAUAAAACCACAGGUUUUGCAUUUCAGGGUAUACUGCCAGCAAGUUCCCCACUUUUUCUGUGCAUGAUAGUCCACAUUCAUCCUAGGACAGGAUGGUGACUCCACUUUAUGUUUAUCAUAAGUAGUGUUGAUCAAGCUGGUUGUCAGUUCACUGUCUAUCAAUCUCAUACCAGAAUGUAAUGCGUUGUUUUCUUCUAUUUUUCAGGUUAGCAUUCGCUUGCGGUCGAAGAGUACAGAUGUGACCAGUAGCCUUUUCACAGUCAGGAGAUUGUAAAGUUUGCCGCACGUAGGAAGUACUUGCACUAGCUGAAUCAGGGAUCUGUAUUGGCGUCCGGCUUCUGCUUCUACCACUUGUGCCUACAGGGAACCAUCCAGGAUUUCUUGGAGAGUUGUCUUUCUUUGACCUCUUCUUGCCUUUGCUAUAUGGGGUAUAACCUUUAGUGAACAUUUUAAAAAUUUAACUGGAUCCGUAAUAUCACAACUUGGACUGAUAGCAUAAACUUUGGACAUCCUUAUAUUUAUAAUCAAGCACUGUAUGAUAUCUGCUUUGAUGUACAUGUUUUUCUUUUGAUGCAGUCUGUGACAUGGAUUUCAAGAGACCACCUUCAGAGGCAACUUUGAAUUAACAGAGUUUUCUUAGCAGUAUCCAACUAAGCCAAUUAAUGUACUAUUAGGGGUCCAGAUAAAGAUUGUUUUAUCCAAAUCUAUUGAAAUAGGUUACUUAAUCAUUUAUUAAGAGAUUAAUUGAACAAAGAAGCAUAUUUAUUUUUUUUAUUAAUGUUUUAGAUAAUUUAUUUCUC